rnacentral:rRNA from 1 species
CAGUAGCCGCGGUAAUACAGAGGGUGCAAGCGUUAAUCGGAAUUACUGGGCGUAAAGCGCGCGUAGGUGGUUUGUUAAGUUGGAUGUGAAAUCCCCGGGCUCAACCUGGGAACUGCAUCCAAAACUGGCAAGCUAGAGUAUGGUAGAGGGUGGUGGAAUUUCCUGUGUAGCGGUGAAAUGCGUAGAUAUAGGAAGGAACACCAGUGGCGAAGGCGACCACCUGGACUGAUACUGACACUGAGGUGCGAAAGCGUGGGGAGCAAACAGGAUUAGAUACCCCGGUAGUCCUGUCUCUUAUACA